AAUAGAUACCCGGGUAGUCCACCCCGUAAACGUUGGGAACUAGUUGUGGGGUCCUUUCCACGGAUUCCGUGACGCAGCUAACGCAUUAAGUUCCCCGCCUGGGGAGUACGGCCGCAAGGCUAAAACUCAAAGGAAUUGACGGGGACCCGCACAAGCGGCGGAGCAUGCGGAUUAAUUCGAUGCAACGCGAAGAACCUUACCAAGGCUUGACAUACACCAGAACACCCUGGAAACAGGGGACUCUUUGGACACUGGUGAACAGGUGGUGCAUGGUUGUCGUCAGCUCGUGUCGUGAGAUGUUGGGUUAAGUCCCGCAACGAGCGCAACCCUCGUUCUAUGUUGCCAGCACGUUAUGGUGGGAACUCAUGGGAUACUGCCGGGGUCAACUCGGAGGAAGGUGGGGAUGACGUCAAAUCAUCAUGCCCCUUAUGUCUUGGACUUCACGCAUGCUACAAUGGCCGGUACAAUGGGCUGCGAUACCGUAAGGUGGAGCGAAUCCCAAAAGCCGGUCCCAGUUCGGAUUGAGGUCUGCAACUCGACCUCA
rnacentral:rRNA from 1 species